CUGUCCUACGGGACGCAGCAGUGGGGGAUAUUGCACAAUGGGGGGAACCCUGAUGCAGCGACGCCGCGUGGGUGAAGAAGUAUUUCGGUAUGUAAAGCCCUAUCGGCAGGGAAGAAUUUAGACGGUACCUGACUAAGAAGCCCCGGCUAACUACGUGCCAGCAGCCGCGGUAAUACGUAGGGGGCAAGCGUUAUCCGGAUUCACUGGGUGUAAAGGGAGCGUAGAAGGCGACGCAAGUCUGGAGUGAAAGCCCGGGGCCCAACCCCGGGACUGCUCUGGAAACUGCGUCGCUGGGGUACGGGAGG
rnacentral:rRNA from 1 species